UUGACGGGGAGCACCACAACGGGUGGAGCUUGCGGUUUAAUUGGAUUCAACGCCGGAAAUCUUACCGGGACCGACAGCAAUAUGAAGGCCAGGCUGAAGACUUUGCCGGAUUAGCUGAGAGGUGGUGCAUGGCCGUCGUCAGUUCGUACUGUGAAGCAUCCUGUUAAGUCAGGCAACGAGCGAGACCCACGCCCACAGUUGCCAGCGUACUCUCCGGAGUGACGGGUACACUGUGGGGACCGCCGCUGCUAAAGCGGAGGAAGGAAUGGGCAACGGUAGGUCAGUAUGCCCCGAAUAUCCCGGGCUACACGCGAGCUACAAUGGUUGGUACAAUGGGUAUCUACCCCGAAAGGGGACGGGAAUCUCCUAAAACCAAUCUUAGUUCGGAUUGAGGGCUGCAACUCGCCCUCAUGAAGCUGGAAUCCGUAGUAAUCGCGUUUCAACAGAACGCGGUGAAUACGUCCCUGCUCCUU
rnacentral:rRNA from 1 species